CCUACGGGAGGCAGCAGUGAGGAAUAUUGGUCAAUGGUCGGGAGACUGAACCAGCCAAGCCGCGUGAGGGAUGAAGGUACAGAGUAUCGUAAACCUCUUUUGUCAGGGAACAAAGGCGGGGACGUGUCCCCGGAUGAGUGUACCUGAAGAAAAAGCAUCGGCUAACUCCGUGCCAGCAGCCGCGGUAAUACGGAGGAUGCGAGCGUUAUCCGGCUUUAUUGGGUUUAAAGUGUGCGCAGGCGGUCUGUUAAGUCAGCGGUCAAAGCCCGGGGCUCAACCCCGGCCCGCCGUUGAAACUGGCAGGCUCGAGUUGGAGAGAAGUAUGCGGAAGGCGCGGUGUAGCGGUGAAAUGCAUAGAUAUCGCGCAGAACUCCGAUUGCGAAGGCAGCAUGCCGGCGCCACACUGACGCUGAGGCACGAAAGCGUGGGUAUCGAACAGGAUUAGAUACCCCAGUAGUC
rnacentral:rRNA from 1 species